AACGCUGGCGGCAGGCCUAACACAUGCAAGUCGAGCGGUAGCACAGAGAGCUUGCUCUCGGGUGACGAGCGGCGGACGGGUGAGUAAUGUCUGGGAAACUGCCUGAUGGAGGGGGAUAACUACUGGAAACGGUAGCUAAUACCGCAUAAUGUCGCAAGACCAAAGUGGGGGACCUUCGGGCCUCAUGCCAUCAGAUGUGCCCAGAUGGGAUUAGCUAGUAGGUGGGGUAACGGCUCACCUAGGCGACGAUCCCUAGCUGGUCUGAGAGGAUGACCAGCCACACUGGAACUGAGACACGGUCCAGACUCCUACGGGAGGCAGCAGUGGGGAAUAUUGCACAAUGGGCGCAAGCCUGAUGCAGCCAUGCCGCGUGUGUGAAGAAGGCCUUCGGGUUGUAAAGCACUUUCAGCGGGGAGGAAGGCGAUAAGGUUAAUAACCUCAUCGAUUGACGUUACCCGCAGAAGAAGCACCGGCUAACUCCGUGCCAGCAGCCGCGGUAAUACGGAGGGUGCAAGCGUUAAUCGGAAUUACUGGGCGUAAAGCGCACGCAGGCGGUCUGUCAAGUCGGAUGUGAAAUCCCCGGGCUCAACCUGGGAACUGCAUUCGAAACUGGCAGGCUAGAGUCUUGUAGAGGGGGGUAGAAUUCCAGGUGUAGCGGUGAAAUGCGUAGAGAUCUGGAGGAAUACCGGUGGCGAAGGCGGCCCCCUGGACAAAGACUGACGCUCAGGUGCGAAAGCGUGGGGAGCAAACAGGAUUAGAUACCCUGGUAGUCCACGCCGUAAACGAUGUCGAUUUGGAGGUUGUGCCCUUGAGGCGUGGCUUCCGGAGCUAACGCGUUAAAUCGACCGCCUGGGGAGUACGGCCGCAAGGUUAAAACUCAAAUGAAUUGACGGGGGCCCGCACAAGCGGUGGAGCAUGUGGUUUAAUUCGAUGCAACGCGAAGAACCUUACCUGGUCUUGACAUCCACAGAACUUUCCAGAGAUGGAUUGGUGCCUUCGGGAACUGUGAGACAGGUGCUGCAUGGCUGUCGUCAGCUCGUGUUGUGAAAUGUUGGGUUAAGUCCCGCAACGAGCGCAACCCUUAUCCUUUGUUGCCAGCGGUCCGGCCGGGAACUCAAAGGAGACUGCCAGUGAUAAACUGGAGGAAGGUGGGGAUGACGUCAAGUCAUCAUGGCCCUUACGACCAGGGCUACACACGUGCUACAAUGGCAUAUACAAAGAGAAGCGACCUCGCGAGAGCAAGCGGACCUCAUAAAGUAUGUCGUAGUCCGGAUUGGAGUCUGCAACUCGACUCCAUGAAGUCGGAAUCGCUAGUAAUCGUAGAUCAGAAUGCUACGGUGAAUACGUUCCCGGGCCUUGUACACACCGCCCGUCACACCAUGGGGAGUGGGUUGCAAAAGAAGUAGGUAG
rnacentral:rRNA from 1 species